GAUGAACGCUGGCGGCGUGCCUAAUACAUGCAAGUCGAGCGAACAGACGCUGCGCUUGCGCGUCUGACGUUAGCCGCAGACGUGUGUGUAACACGUGUAUAACCUACCUAUAAUACUGGUAUAUCUUCGGGAAUCCGGCGCUUAUCCCGGAUAAUCUAUUGCACCGCGUGGUUCGAUAGUAAGUGCCGGUUUUUCGGUCUCUUCUAGAUGGAUCCGGGCCGCAUGAGCUAGUUGGUAAGGUCACGGCUUACCAAGGCAAGCAUGCGUAGCCGAACUGACAGGGUGAUCGGCCACACGGGAAGUGGGACACGGUCCAGACUACUACGGGAGGCAGCAGAAGGGAAUCUGCCGCAAUGGGCGAGAGCCUUACGGAGUAACGCGGCGUCAGUGAUGAAGGUGUUGGGAUCGUAAAACUCGGUUAUUAGGGAAGAACAAAUGUCUACGGAACUAUGCACGUCUUGACGGUACUUAAUCAGAAAGCAACGGCUAACUACGUG
rnacentral:rRNA from 1 species